CAAAACGCGUGCGCGCGCGUGCAUGCAAGAGCACACCGAUUUCUGGAGCGUGUCCGUUCACGAGGGGACACGCUGCCGCGAGAUCUCCUCUUCCUCUUGUUCUAGAGAUCUUAUCGAGGCCGAACUCACACUGACGACGCUCGGAAAAAGAGGUCGAACCGAUUUAAUUAAUUCGUCGAGCAGGACUUUGUCGGGGGAUAGAAACGUUCCGGAAAUGGAAAGUUACCGAUCAGUGCCUUGGAUAAUGAGAACUAUCCUGCAGUGAGCGAAAUGUCUGCAGCGAUACGCUAGCGGUUUUCCAGCGGACUUCUAGAGAAUAUUACGGCAAAUUGACGUCAUCUGCGUCCGCAUUAAGCUCCUGUUCCGCUAACAUAAUCUAACAACAGAAACAGGAGUAGAAGUUCUGCCAUCCGUGUAACUAUUAAAAUGAUAGAUUUUGCUCGGUU